rnacentral:rRNA from 1 species
AUGGUCAAUGACGAAAGUCUGAACCAGCCAAAUCGCGGGAAGAAGAAGGUAUAUGUAUCGUAAACUCUUUGUAAGAGAGUAAAGUGCACUACGUGUAGUGUAUGCAAGUACUUACGAAUAAGCAUCGGCUAAUUCCGUGCCAGCAGCCGCGGUAAUACGGAAGAUGCAAGUGUUAUCCGGAUUUAUUGGGUUUAAAGGGUGCGUAGGUGGUCUAAUAAGUCAGUGGUGAAAUCUCUUUGCUUAACAAGGAAAUUGCCAUUGAAACUGUUAGACUUGAGAAUGGACGAGGUAGGCGGAAUUCGUAGUGUAGCGGUGAAAUGCAUAGAUAUUACGAAGAACUCCAAUAGUGUAGACUGCUUACCAGACCAUAUCUGACACUAAGGCACGAAAGUGUGGGUAUCAAACAGGAUUAGAUACCCUGGUAGUCCACACAGUAAACGAUGAAUACUAACUGUUUGCGAUAUACAGCAAGUGGUCGAGCGAAAGCGUUAAGUAUUCCACCUGGGAAGUAUGCCGGCAACGGUGAAACUCAAAGGAAUUGACGGGGGCCCGCACAAGCGGAGGAACAUGUGGUUUAAUUCGAUAAUACGCGAGGAACCUUACCCGGGCUCGAACGAUAUUUGAAUACAUCCGAAAAGAUGUAGCUAGCAAUAGCAAAUACCGAGGUGCUGCAUGGUUGUCGUCAGCUCGUGCCGUGAGGUGUCGACUUAAGUGUCAUAACGAGCGCAACCCUUACCGAUAGUUACCAUCAGAUAAUGCUGGGGACUCUAUUGGGACUGCCACCGUAAGGUGUGAGGAAGGAGAGGAUGACGUCAAAUCAGCACGGCCCUUAUGUCCGGGGCGACACACGUGUUACAAUGGGAGAAACAAAGGGUCGCUACCUGGCAACAGGAUGCCAAUCUCGAAAAUCCCUCUCAGUUCGGAUUGGAGUCUGCAACUCGACUCCAUGAAGCUGGAUUCGCUAGUAAUCGCACAUCAGCCAUGGUGCGGUGAAUACGUUCCCGGGCCUUGUACGCACCGCCCGUCAAGCCAUGGAAGCUGGAAGUACCUGAAGUAUGUAACUAAAAGAGCGUCUAAGU